rnacentral:rRNA from 1 species
UACGUAGGGUGCGAGCGUUGUCCGGAAUUAUCGGGCGUAAAGAGCUCGUAGGCGGUUUGUUGCGUCGGCCGUGAAAACCUGCAGCUUAACUGUGGGCCUGCGGCCGAUACGGGCAGACUUGAGUUCGGUAGGGGAGACUGGAAUUCCUGGUGUAGCGGUGAAAUGCGCAGAUAUCAGGAGGAACACCGGUGGCGAAGGCGGGUCUCUGGGCCGAUACUGACGCUGAGGAGCGAAAGCGUGGGGAGCGAACAGG